rnacentral:rRNA from 1 species
CCUACGGGGGGCUGCAGUGGGGGAUAUUGCACAAUGGAGGAAACUCUGAUGCAGCGACGCCGCGUGAGGGAAGACGGUCUUCGGAUUGUAAACCUCUGUCUUUGGGGAAGAAAAUGAUGGUACCCAAAGACGAAGCUCCGGCUAACUACGUGCCAGCAGCCGCGGUAAUAUGUAGGGAGCGAGCGUUGUCCGGAAUUACUGGGGGUAAGGGGAGCGUAGGCGGGAGAGAAAGUUGAAUGUUAAAUCUACCGGCUUAACUGGUAGCUGCGUUCAAAACUUGUAGUCUUGAGUGAAGUAGAGGCAGGCGGAAUGCCUGGUGUAGCGGUGAAAUGCAUAGAUAUUGGGAGGAACACCGAUGGCGAAGGCGGCCUGCUGGGCUUAAACUGACGCUGAGGCACGAAAGCGUGGGGAGCGAACAGGAUUAGAUACCCUAGUAGUC